AUAUACAAAAAACACAAAACGAGAUGAGUCAGAUUAAGAUUGUGUAAU
rnacentral:guide_RNA from 1 species